AUGCAAGAAAAAAUUAUUUCCGGAGAAUGGAUUGUUGCAAUAUCAAUGACCAAUAAUAAUUAUGAGUAUAUAAACAAUCAUGUAAUUGAUGAUAGAAAUUUGUUUCCUGCAACAAUAUAUAUAUGUUUGAUUUGGCAAACAUUAGGUAUUAUAAUAGGAAAUUUGUAUACCUGAAUGUCUGUUGUCAUUAAAAAUAUAAAGUUCAAUUGAAUUACCAACGUCUUUAAAGAGAGAACACUUAAAACGAUGGUCAUGAUUCACAAAAAUAAUUACUUCCUACCAUGUAUAAAUUAUUUUUUAAAGAUUUGAAUACAUGAUUUUCAAAUAAAUAGCAGUAAAUUCAAAAUCAUCAUAAGAGAUGCUGCCAAAUUUUUUGAAAGAUUUGUUUUGCAACAAAUUUAUCUGAGAUGAAAGUAUUCUUUGAUGUGAUCAAGAAAAAUAUUUACAAUGAAAAAAAAAAGAAUUAGCUGAAAAAGAUAUCUAUAAAAUUGAAAUUGUGGUUGAAAUGUGGUUACCGAUAUAGCAGUCACUUCCAAAGCAUACGCAGCGCAUCUAUUUUGGGAAAAAAGAAUAUAUCAAAUGGAAAAAUAAUUGGGUAGCAUUCAUGGAUAAUAUGUUAUAGAUGAAAAUUAUCAGUUUGGACCCUAGAGUUUGGGUAUUUAUGCUGAUUGAAAUUCGAAAAUUGAUAAUAGAUCCUAAAGAUCAUCAAGAAUAUUUUUAAAGUUUGACUACUAAUGAAAAAUAAAAAUACUAUACUUAAUAUUAAUGAAAUGUGAAGUAAUAUAUGGAUUUAAAGUGUACCUAUACAAUUUUUCAAAGACAUUGAUGCAAUUAAAAGUGGAAAUCUAUAAAAUUAGAGCUACUAUCUAUAAAAAGAGAUCUAUCAGUGAUCCAAUUAUCAAAGAAUAUAAAUUCACUGCUUAUAGUGACAGAAAGGAAACGUCAUUAUGAGAAAUAGUAAUAUUAUUUAUACAUAUCACUUUUGAAAAUAUGCCAUGUUCAAAGUAAAGACAGUCAAACUUGUUGAAGAUAAGGACAAUAUUUCAACUGAGGAACUCAUCUCUCCAGUAUUGUUAGAUAUUUUAAAUAAUUUGCUUUUAGUUAAAGCUAAUAUUAAUGUAUUUGUAUUAAAAAAUAAAUUGGAAGAUAUUCCUAAAGAUGUCAUAGUUUCAGAAUCAAAUAUGAUAGAAAUGGGUGAUACCAAUCCAUUUACUAUUGGACAUGAUUUGUUCACGAACGAAGAGAAAAACCGCUUGAAAAAAUUUUUUAAAUCUAUAAAAAAUGGAGCUUUUCUUUUAUUUCUUGAAAAAAGCAAUACAAUCAUUAGACUUAUCGAUUUUAUAGGAAUUUCAAUUAUGUAUAGUUUUAAAAAAAUGUACCUCCGGGGAAUCUUGGAUACUUUUAAAAAAGAUAAAUAAAAUCCUGGUACAGACUAUGAUUGUUAACGUUAAGAGCAAUGAAUUUAACUAGUUGCAAAAAGUGCAAGCUAUACUUGAAAGAAAACAAGAAGAGGAUAUCAGCAAAAUGAGAGUCACACUCAUUGAAGAAGGAAACUUUGAGUCGGGUCUCUUAGGAUUCAUUAAUUGCUUACGGAAAGAAGCUGGUGAGAAUAUCUGAGUUGUUUUAAGAUCUAUUUCAAGAUCUUAAAGCUCUGAAUUCUUUGAAAUUAACACUUUACUUCGGACCACUCGAAACGGAUCUCGUUACUAAUGUAAAUUCAUUAAAGAAUACUAUCGAACCAAUUGUUCGGACAGUUUUUAGUCAAGAUCAAAUACAUGUAGCACUUAAAUUCAUGACAGCUGGAAACCAUUUGAGGAAAGUAUCUAUAAAGAGAAUUGCACAUUAAUAUGGUAUAUAAUUUUUACAUAUUACAGCACAUAUUAGAUAAAUUUAAAGAUUGAAAUGAUUUCAUGUUAGUGGAGUAUUCAUUUGGAUUGCUUGUAGCUAUUGAACUCACACGAAAGUUAGAAACCAAAAGAUUUAUUAGUCAACUUAUUUUGGUUGGCAGGACUCCUCGGCAUCUGAAAAUGCUUAUACAGCAAUAAUUGCAUUCGUCAUCAUAGGAAGAACUGGAAAUCAAUAUUUUGUUUGGUAUAAUGAAGACAUGUAUGGCUAUUAACAGUGCAGAAGUUCAUUUGUAUUUUUCUAAAAGGCAUCUUCUUUUUUUACUUUUCAUAAGGCAUAUUCUAUUUUCCAACAUUAUUUUGCAACUUGAAUUUGAAUUAAAAAAAUACAAUAUGUAGAAUGAGAAAGUAAAAACAUUUUUUAAUGUUCUAUCAACGUAACGUAUUUUUAAUGUCCCUAAACAAAAGGAAUCAAAAAAAUGCUAUUCGCUCUCUGAAUGUCAGAUUACAAGCAAUUAUGCCAUACGAUCCAAAACCAAUACCAUAUGUAAGAACAACAGUCACAAUGUUCAAACUGCUGUUAUUAUUUGCACUAAAUAUCAAAUAUGAUUAUGGAUUGUAAGUUUUA